rnacentral:rRNA from 1 species
UACGGGGGGGGCAAGCGUUGUUCGGAAUUACUGGGCGUAAAGGGCGCGUAGGCGGUCAGACCAAGUCGAGUGUGAAAUUCCAGGGCUUAACUCUGGCACGCUCGCUCGAUACUGGUCGGCUAGAGUGUGGAAGAGGAUGCUGGAAUUCCUGGUGUAGCGGUGAAAUGCGCAGAUAUCAGGAGGAACACCGGUGGCGAAGGCGGGUCUCUGGGCCGAUACUGACGCUGAGGAGCGAAAGCGUGGGGAGCGAACAGG